rnacentral:rRNA from 1 species
UGGGGAAUAUUGCACAAUGGGCGCAAGCCUGAUGCAGCCAUGCCGCGUGUGUGAAGAAGGCCUUCGGGUUGUAAAGCACUUUCAGCGGGGAGGAAGGCGUUAAGGUUAAUAACCUUGGCGAUUGACGUUACCCGCAGAAGAAGCACCGGCUAACUCCGUGCCAGCAGCCGCGGUAAUACGGAGGGUGCAAGCGUUAAUCGGAAUUACUGGGCGUAAAGCGCACGCAGGCGGUCUGUCAAGUCGGAUGUGAAAUCCCCGGGCUCAACCUGGGAACUGCAUUCGAAACUGGCAGGCUAGAGUCUUGUAGAGGGGGGUAGAAUUCCAGGUGUAGCGGUGAAAUGCGUAGAGAUCUGGAGGAAUACCGGGGGCGAAGGCGGCCCCCUGGACAAAGACUGACGCUCAGGUGGGAAAGAGUGGGGAGCAAACAGG